AUACGGAGGGUGCAAGCGUUAUUCGGAAUCACUGGGCGUAAAGGACGCGUAGGCGGGUUGGCAAGUCAGAUGUGAAAUCCUACAGCUUAACUGUAGAACUGCAUUUGAAACUGCUAACCUAGAGUAUGGGAGGGGGAGAUGGAAUUAGUGGUGUAGGGGUAAAAUCCGUAGAUAUCACUAGGAAUACCGAAAGCGAAGGCGAUGUCCUGGAACAUAACUGACGCUAAGGCGUGAAAGCGUGGGGAGCAAACAGGAUUAGAAACCCCUGUAGUCC
rnacentral:rRNA from 1 species